rnacentral:rRNA from 1 species
ACAGCAGUAGCCGCGGUAAUACGAAGGGUGCAAGCGUUACUCGGAAUUACUGGGCGUAAAGCGUGCGUAGGUGGUGGUUUAAGUCCGUUGUGAAAGCCCUGGGCUCAACCUGGGAAUUGCAGUGGAUACUGGGUCACUAGAGUGUGGUAGAGGAUAGUGGAAUUUCCGGUGUAGCAGUGAAAUGCGUAGAGAUCGGAAGGAACAUCUGUGGCGAUGGCGACUAUCUGGGCCAACACUGACACUGAGGCACGAAAGCGUGGGGAGCAAACAGGAUUAGAGACCCCCGUAGUCCCUGUCUCUUAUAC